UCGUCGCCAGUAUGCGGCUCGGAGGUCUGGGCGUCCACCGGGGCAGUGGUCUGGUGGGCAUGCUCGGGGUGGACGGGCUGGGAGGUCGACGCACGAAACUGCGGGAUCGGAAAGCCGCUCUCUGCGAGGGACUGUAAAAUCACCGACAUCUGACCCUGAAGCUCGGCGACCUGUGCUGUCAAAGCAGUCACCUGACUGUUUGACUGCGCCGAUGAACGAGGUCUAGGUUCCCUCCGCCGGGCAUUCCCCAUCCCUCGACAAUAUGUCCCCGGCCUCCUCCCGAGAGUCUGAUCCAACGUCUCCGUCAAGAUCUGAAAUCCAGCAUCCUGUGGAGGAGCCACAGACUAGAUCGGAGUCUCGGGAGGAAGCUGGGAGGCGGACUCCUGAAGAACCAAUUGGCUCCUCUCCACCAUCGUCGUCUGUUGAACAUAACAUAAAAUAUAAAUUAAAACAUGCAUAUAAAUUGAAUGCGUAACAUAAGAAUUAAAAUUAAAUAAUACUUACAUGAAGGGACUCGGCCAACUCAUUCCCGGGUCGAACAUAAACGUCACCAAAGACGUCGAUCUCUGGGAACUUGGACCCUUCCUAAAUUGAACAAGAGAAGAAAAAUAUUAGCAUGAAAAAAAUAAAUUAAUAAAAAUGACAUUAAAAAUGAAAUAUAAAUUAUGUGAUUAUUACCCGUCUCCGUGCAUCCAUCCUAUACGAAAAGGGCCUGGAGCCGGAAUGGUGGAGAAGGGUCUUCUUCUUCCUAUUACCCUUAUUCACUUGGGCUUUAUUCUGUUAUACAAAAAAUGAAACGUAUUAGUUAAAAUAUAACAAAUUAAAUAAUAAUGAAAUAUAAAAAAAUGAAAUAAAUAUUAAUAAGAAAUAAGUAAUAAUUAAAACAAAUAUGAUUAAAAAAAUACCAUAUAUUCGGGCGCUUGAAAAUGAGCGCAGAGCCACUCCCAACUAUCCUCCCGCCCCUCAAGCUCCUUCGGGCAACCCUCCUGAAGAGCGACUUGCGGAUCAUCAAAGGCCUGAAAAUGAUGGUGCAAGUCGCUCUUCCACUGCUUGUACCUCUCAGCGAAAAGUCUGUUGACGUACGCCAACGACUCUUCGUCGAGAUCCUCCAAGUUAUAGUUCGUCUGCAAUCAAUUAAUUAGAUACGUUAAGUAAUAGAAAUAUACACAAUUUUAAAGAAAAAUAAUGAAAAUGUAAGGUACAUACCAACAACUGGCCGCGAACCUCCACCUUUAUCUCGUCAGGAAUGACCCUCCAAGACUUCCAUUGCAUCGGGCAAUGGGUCCGCACGACGUGGCCAAUGUUGUGGGCCAAGGAGCUAUGCAACUCCGCCGUGGGUGCAGCCCGAUGGCACUCGUCGUAUCCGAUGCUGAUACGACUGUUGGUCACCCGGGUGACCUUCGCCGUCUUCAGCUGACGACACGGCCCUCGGGUGUUCUUCUUCGCUGCAAAGAAAUAAGAUAUUAAUGUUAAAUAAACAACAUUGUCAAAUUUCAAUAUAAAAUUAACAAUAAAAAAUGGUAGUUAUACCUGGCUGUGAUCCCGAGGCACCAGUACCGUCGGUCGAUGUCGUCUCGGUGGUGUCGGCCGGCCGGUGCCGCCUCCUAGCACUAGCUGGCUGCGCGACGGAUGACGCAGAAGACGCUGGCGCCUGGGACGCCCCGGGACCAACCAGCACGUGCUCCAUCAAAGCUGGAGCUGUGGCAGCAGAUGCCGACGGAGCCGGGGGAUCUGAACUCGGUGCAGUCGUCAUCGACCUACCACGUCUAAUCAAGUCUGACAUCUGC
rnacentral:lncRNA from 1 species